CGAUAUGGUGUAGUGGCUAACAUCGCCGUCUCUCACACGGCAGCCGGGGGUUCGAUUCCCCCUAUCGGAG
rnacentral:tRNA from 1 species